AUGGCCGGCCAGCCCUGGCUGGUGGCCUGUAACACAUCCAACUGGCUUAGCAGUCUCCCACAGCAGGAAGCAGAGGACCCCACAGGGCUGAACUGUACCUCUGUCCUUGUAGCCACUGCUUGCCCGGGGUCACUGAUACCAUGUGGCAGUUCUGGGGUCCCCUCUGGUCCCACCAGCCUGAACUGCCAAGGCGUGAUGCUGCUCCCUGCUGACACCCUUUCAGCUCCCCUCCCACUUACCUGCAGCUGGGACAGCCUCUUCAGCAAGCCCUCCCUCACUGCCCCACCGGGCUUUCCCCGGAGCUCAGCUGGAGCCAGCAGGGCCCUGCCCUCCCUCUCCUGGGAGGCAUCAGAGAGGAGCCGGACCGUUUCCUUACCGUGGCACUGUGGCUGCUGUCAACAGGCCUUGGGGCAGGAUGCAGCUCGUGGUGGAAGAUGCCCUGGGUUCCAUCCCCAGCACUUGGAAAGAAACAAACUGGAAAAUCUGUGAUUCCAGGUACAGAUGGGCUCUUGCCAGGCUGGCACAGGGGCCCAGUGGGCGUUUGGUUUCGGUGGAAGGAAACUUAAGCCCCACAGCACUGCGGUCACGGUAGCUGGAGUGGCUAAAACCUCAGGCAGGCCAGGCCUGGUGAUGCAAGCUCCCUUCGCAGGCUGCUCACGUCCUCUCCGGGGACAGCGAGAGCGGCCAAAGGGGUGUUGGACGGAUGGGGCUCGGAGCCCGCGUCACAGCCGCUGCUCGGACCAUGUUCUCGGACCAGCCAGAGCCGACCGUCCCCUGCAUCAGAAGCACCUCAGUCUGAGGCGCCCCAGGCCCUGGAAGGGCUCCACGCCUGCACAUCUCCCUGGCCCGGGGAACAGAAACUGGCCCUGAACUGCUCAGGGUGGCUCACACCUGGCGCCGGGGUAGUGGACGCAAACACUGCUGUUUCGGGUCAAAUUCCAGGAAACAGCCAAGGCCCAGCAGCGGAACACCUGGGAGUGACCCAGACAGGCGCCCUUUGCAGGCUGGGGGAAGGGGCUGAGGUGUGGGGGUGUCCUGGGAGAAGCAGGCCCAGCCCCUGGAGGGACCCUGGGGUUUCAGCGGGUACCCCAGACAGGGGGUCUGCGUGGAGAUCCAGGAGUGCUGGGCUUUGUCUCAAGUCUGGGACAGGCUGUGGGAGCCCCGCAGCUCCCAGCCCCGCUCUGGGCCUCCGCUGUGAAACCGCAGGGCGAGUUGGCAGAUGUUCGGCUCAGACUGGGAGGCGGGCGCAGUGGCAGCUCCCUGGGAAGGGCUGCCUUCUGCCCUGCGUGGUGUGACCAGAACUAUGGCGAGUGUUCAGAUUUUAAAAUGAAAACCUCGUCACAAUGAAAGACAUAUCGCUCCGAAUCCCUCUGGGUAGAGUCUCCCUCACGGAGCACAACUCCCCAUUGUCCCUGUGACUUUCUGAAGCAGUUCUGGAAGUUCUCUUUUGUGAGUGUUUUUUCUUGAGGGCCUCGGUGUCCUGAACUGGUUUCCAAAUGUUUAUGGCAAUUUCUUCAGGAUGAAGACAUGACAGUGCAUCCUCAUCCACCUUUCUGAAUCUUUCAGAACCCGCGACUUCUGGCUCUUUCUCAAAGGCAAAACGACCAUGAGAAGAAAAAAGUUUGAACGGAUGCUGGACAUAGAGGCAGCCAUGAUAGCACAACUAGAGACACAAAAGAGGACCCCCAGUGGCAAAGAUGACGGGAUGAGUGUGUUCAAAGUGAGGGGCAGUAAUUGGGGAGGGAUGAAUGGCAACGUGUCUUUAUAUUUUAUUUUUUAUUUUUUGGUUUUUUUGAGGCAGGGUCUCACCAUGUAGUUGAGACUGACCCGGAACUCAGUAUGUAGCCCAGGCUGGUCUUGAACUCACAGCGAUCCUCCUGCCUCAGCCUCUCGAAUGCUGGGAUUACAGACGUGUGCCACCUUGCCCAGCUGGCAAUGUGUCUUUUACUGUAAUAAUUUUAAAAAAUAAUCUAAACAUUGACCGUAAUUUUGGAUCACGCUGCAUGGAUUUGGAUGCUGGAUGGGACCACGUUGGAACCAAAGGUCCCGAGGUCCAUGCCGUGGGAGCCGCAGCUCUGGGUCAGCCAGCCAGGCAGCCCUGAGCCCCAAGCUGUCCCCUGCCUGGUGCCUAAGCGUGGACUUGGAGACAACCAGUCUGGGCUCGAACCCCACAGCUCCCACACGCUGGCUGUCUGAUCUUUGGUGAUGUACUUGACCCCUCUUGGCUUCAGUACCUAAAUCUGUGACGCAGAGACGAUAAUGUCUUCCUCACAGGGUUGUCGGGAGCACAGCGUGGAUUCUGUGGCUCACAUUCUCCCCUCCCACACCCUUGCUGGGCUGCGGGACGCAUCUCAGGGAAUGAAGUUCUGCCGUCCCACGAGUCACGGGCUUCUGGAGGCUGCCAUGUUGGGAAGGAGCCAAGGAUGAUCCCAAGUCCCAGAGCCCGUGUUCAUUCAUUCGUUCUUUUUCUUUACCUGUGCUGGGGCUGGAACCCAGGGCUCCGUGCAGACUGAGACAAGUGCUGUACUACUGAGCCCACACCCGCCUUCAUUUAUUAUGGACUAAUUUUCUGUCUUCCCUGCUCCUAAACGGAACGUCCAUCCCAGGGCAGCUGGGACCCAUAUCUUGUUCCUUAGUCCUAGCCAGGCAGCGCUGGGUACCCAGGAACAAGGCAGAGGCGGAGGGAGUGGAAAAGCUCUGUGACAACUCAAGGAAUCUGUCAGUCCUGGCUCAAAUUCAUCUUGUCACUUUCUCACUGUGUGACUUGGGCCAGGUUACUUGACUUCUCUGGGCCUCUGUUGUGCACCAGAUGUGUUGUUGUACCGAUAAAAUGGGAUAAGGGCAUAAAAGUGCUCAUACAUUCCUGGGCUCGACACGCCGCAGUGGGGCCCGGCUUGUGACUCUCUGCUGUCCUCCUCCUCCUCCCUCCCCGCUCCCUGGACCCUUUGCUGUGAGCUGGGUACCUUCUGUCCAAAAGAAAUGCAGGCGUGUGCGUGACCAGUGGGGUCAUCUGAGGACCAGCCCUUCCAGUCGGUGAACACGGUUUCCCCGCAGCUGUGUGGCCUCCUCCCGGAAGCGGGUAUCAGGCCUCAUUCUGGCCAGGAAAGGCCUCUGCCAGCCACCCGGGCCACUUCUCCUGGGCCCAUGAAAGAGACGCGGGUGCCAUCAUCCAGCUGACCAAGGCCUGCGGCUUUCACGGACCUCUGGCCUUGCCCAGAAGCAGGACUCUCAGAGCCCCGCUGGAAAAUACGGGGUGUCCGGAACCCUGCGAACUUUAGAUAAACGACAGGCGUGAAUGUGAAGCUCACGUAUGUGGCGGGCUCCGCACACGCGCUGAACAACUGCUCGCAUUUGAUCUGAAAUGCAGCGCGAACUGGCCCGUCUCUUCUCUUUAGGGUCCAGCGGCUUUGCCCUGGGCCUCCCUCUGCUGGGAGCUCCCGGGUCUCAGCUCCAUCUUGGCAGUGGCAGAAACAACCCAGGCCAGGACAGUGAGUCCCGAUGGGAGUGGGUCUCUGUCCUCGGGGCCUCAGUUUCCCCAUCCACGUCCCUCAGCGGUCGGACUUGGUGCUGCCUCCUUGGGAAUGAACCGUGUGAGGUGCGUGGGCAUGCGUUUUGGCAGUGGGUGUUGUGCAAACCCUGGGCCCAGGUUCCCUGUUAAUGGCUAAUAGACCAGCUGCAGGAGGCUAUUUCUGGCUACUGGUUCCUUUUUCCUAAAAGUAGUUUGUUUUUUUAAACAAGCAAUUUGUGAGCAUCCUAGAAGCAUUAAAAAGUAGGGCGGAAACCCUGAUUCCAUCUCCCAGAGACAACCAUUUAUAACAUUCUUUAUUCUUUAUUCUUUUUUUUUUGGUACCAGGGAUCGAACUUGGGACCUUGCGCUUGUGAGGCAGGCGCUGGAACCACUGAGCUAAAUCCCCGGCCCUUGGCAUACUUUAUUCCUGAAGAAAAGGGCGAAGCUUUCUAUCCAG
rnacentral:lncRNA from 1 species